rnacentral:lncRNA from 1 species
UCAUGGCGAUGGACAUCAUCAUUGGAGAAGACCACAAAUUGGCAUCUAUUGGAGCAAACCACAGAUCGGCUAUCAAAGUCAAAAGUUGGGCCUCCGCUGUUUCGUCGUCGGAGUCGAUGAUGCAUGCACAAUCAGAUUACCGUUGAAUGCACUUAGUGAUUCCACCAGAAGGUCAGCGACAAGAAGACGGCUAUAUCUGGAGGUAAAGUAAAGGUGUCAAACCGUCAAACCUAUCUUAAUUUCUUUUGGAUCAUUGGAUCAAUUCAUUCGGGCGUCCUGUUGAGAUUCAAUUUCGAUUAUGAAUUCUGGUCUGGUGGAUUGUCCCCGGCGAAUUAGUUUUCCAGUAUCCCUAAAUUGGGUGGUUUCUAGUACUAGAAUUAGAGUCUGAUUGUUGUUUUACAGUUACCGGUUUAGAUGGAGUUCCGAGGACCUGAAAGCGGCAAAGAUUUGUUGUAAUAGACUUGGAGAAAAGUUGGGCUUCCGAUAACCUGAAGGGGGAAGAGGCUUGUGCGCUGACGAUACGGUUCAGCUCAAACCAUGAAAUCGUUUCGGUAAGCACCCUGAAUUGAACCUAUGUUUCAACUUUGUAACCACCUUGGAUCUUAAUCCAUAACUUGUUGUUGCUGCAGUAGAAUUCCUACGGUAUUUAACGGUCAGAAGUUAUUUAUUGGUGUCGUAGGUUUACGUACCAAUGUGUGAUGAAGCCCAUUGGUAUUUACUCAAUAUCUCAAUAACGGAUAAAAGGGUUCGUAUCGGGAACUGUUGUCGUGAAAGAUCUCAAAUUAGAGACGCGACAACAACUACGAUAGUAAGUGAUCGAUCCCCUAGCUUUCUCUGAUUUUGAUUUAUAUGAAACUGGGACACCGUGUUACAAAGUCUACAUGUACCGAUUUGAAACUGUGAUAUGUAAACACUGCACUUCGUAGUUGGCGUGUUCCUAUGUGCAGUCCUUGGGCAUCGAGAUUAUGGGCUGCUCUGUAUAUGUGUUAGAACAUCCAAAGUCCUACUGGAGCAAUGAUUUAGUUGUUGAUCAUAGCAGUCCACGAGAGCAAGUUCCUCUCAGGCAUUCCAUCAAACAAGUCAGAUCCAUCGGGAAGCAAACAUACCCAGCAAUAAAAAAAUUCUACUAACAUUUAAGCGUGAGUUUGAGAUGAGAAGAAGAUGGUUGAACCAACUAAUCUAAAAUAUACAAUUCUAAGAGUUUAAAAUAUUAAAGUUUGAUUUUCAUGAAAUAAUGUUGUAAUGCCAAAACACCUAAAAUAUAAGUGUUUCUUUUAGAUGGCGUU